UAUGAGCAACACGGGUGCCGGGUUUACACUGUAGCAGCCUCGCUUUAGAGAGGUUUGCUGGUGGAUCUGUGCUGAGAUCAUACCGUCGAGCGGAACAGGAUAAUGCCUGCGUCGCUAGUUGCUUCCCUUGGUUG
rnacentral:ncRNA from 21 species